ensembl:lncRNA
AUAUAUAUAUAUCCUGCCUUGCGCUUAAUUCCUACGUCACCUGAUCAUGUCAGGCCUAUAAGUAGAGGCAUGAUUUUACACAAGCUUCAGAUACCGGUCACGCGCGCAAGGCGUUCCCAUACUGAAAGCUCAUCACAUUAUAGAAUAAAGUUAAUAAGUGGAACCUGAACAUCAAUAGUAACUUUCACCGUUUGAGCAUGGUCUGGACUUUAAGUUCACUUGGAAAUCCUCUAUAAGUUAUUGGUCAUGGGGGGAAAUAAGAUUAAUCCAUCAGGAUCACGUUACGAUCUAUAAUUACAUCAUCAUUUACACUCCGUGUUGUUCAUGAUCAGGUGAUUUGUAGGAUGUAGAAAUCCGUCUCCAGAUUUUGAGUGAGUUUUAUGAACACGGUAACGUCCCUACACGCACCUCAGACAAGAUUUUUCACUUUAUUCGGUUUAUUCUAAUUCUGUAACCUUGACAACACUGUGACGUCAUGGCUCAGCCAGCAAUAAAACAUUCCACUCAGCUGAAGUGGUCUUUGGUUUCUACAGACAGAUCACUGAGAGACUUGUUUCUGCACGACAGAACGAUUUUCAAAAAUGAGGAGGAAUCACAAAAAGACACCUCAGCAUCAAGCUAUGCAGGGAUUAAGGAGUAGUAAAAUGGACAUAGUGUCCAGGUACAGUCAUUACACCUGUUCACACACAGGACAAUUAGUAUGAUGAGUGUGUUUCAUUUCUAACAGAAAGCUGAGUCUGAGAAGCAGAGAAUGCCAGUGUAGAGUUAUUAAACUCUUUGACCUUUUGAUAGGAAACGAUCUGAGAACAGAAGUGAAAUGUUUAAAAAGUAAAAUGUGUGGAAAGACUUUUAUCAGAAGUGUGUUUUAAUUUAACGGAAUGUGUUUGUUUCUUAAAGAACAAGAGAAAAAGCAGCAAUGACGAUCACUCCAGAAUCGAGUAACAGGCCUACAAACCAAGAUUUCUUGCAGCAAACUGCACGACCUGAGGAAGUUCUGCAUAGAACGCCCAGAAUGGAUCCGAUUGGUCUUCCCCCAUCCAGAGCACCGGUGUGUGGGGAAAAGUUAAGCAAAACAACCAGCAAUCCUGAGGAACUUACAGGUACUACAGAGGUAAAGAGUAAGUCUCUUGAGGCUACAAUUGAGGUAGAACCUCAAUUAAGAACCAACAUUACUGAUGCUAUCCUGGAUUGUAUAACCUCUACAUCGUUCAAGAAUCAGCUCGCUCUGCGCAUUGUGGGUGAGAUUGAUGAUAUACUAGCAAAAGCUGUGUCCCAGGUUCACGAGAAACAGCAUGCUGUGAGUUUCGAAACAGCAGAAGAUAAGACGAACAUCUCCCCGGAACAACAAUCGAGCAACAAUGUUUUCAUGCCUGGCUUCAGUGAUGGUGUGGCAUCUGUGCUUGGUUAUGCACUGAUAGAAGUUAGAGAACAUGUGAAAAAAACUUUUAGAAGCCAGUCACACAAAUUUCAGACAGUCUCACCCACGGCAUGCGAUUCUGUAACAGAAAUAGUGGACAGCGUCUUUGAAAGCAUGCUUGAUUCCUUGACUGCUCAACUGAAACCAGAUGUUUGCACUGAAAGGGAUCCUAGCAUGAUUGAUUCUCUUUAUAGUCAUGAGUUUGAUACAGUGUUUGAUAGUAUCCUUCCCAGCACUGACUCAGAUUUCAACCAGAGUCCAGUCCAUGAGCCAAGAGGAAGUGAUGAUGAGUCUAGUGUGACAACUCAGGGCAGUGAGACAUUAGACAUUGUGAAAGAGAGAGCUGACUCCCCAAGAAGAUCUACCAAAGUCCCGUUCUCCACAGUAUUUGACCAGUCUUCUGGACCUGAAGUUAAGGCCAAAGAUGAGGUUGAGGGCAUCUUGGCUGAUUCUGGAAGCAUGAGCCACCUUGAUGACCCUCUGACUUCAAGAAUCAAAUCUGACUCCGAUUCGGAUACAAGCGUUCUUGAGCUCACUGCUACUUCUGCAACGGAAAAUGUUGACCACAUGUCAAGAUCUGAUGAAGUAGCAGAAGAAGGACUUGUGGCUAAAUCAGAUGUUGAGCUUGAGCAAAUCAUGGCUGCUCCUUCUGAGGAAAACACUCCUUCUGACAUAACUUCCCAAAGCCUUGAGCUGAUUGGACACCAGGAAUGUGCUAGCCCUGUCCCUUCACCACCUUCUAGUGAUCAGCCAGAGGAUCUGCCAGCUCUUUGCCAAACAGAGCAUCUUUGACCAGUCUCACCAAAAUGUAGAGAGUGAUGGCAAGCGUAGACUUUCUCUGACUGGCAUGGAAAUGGGUUCUUCUGGAAGCAGAAGUCGCCUUGAUGAACCUCAGUUCAUCUGAAACUUACAACGUUGAAGAAGCUGCAGCAAAAUCAGCUGGAUACAAAGCAGUACUAUGUUGAAAUUAUUCUGACGUAUUAAAUCAUUGCAAAUAAAUGAACCAUCCAUUCAUUAUCUUUUUACACUGUUCUUUCUUGUAUCCAAAUUGUAGCCUCCCCAAGAGGACUGUCGUGGGAAAUAAUCUUUCCAGCCUAACAAAAAGCUUCAGAGACAGAGGGUUUGUAGAUGUCAAAAGUAAUUAAACUUUAUUGAAACAAUAAAGUGAGACAGUCUGCAGAAAGUCUAAAUUAUGCAACCACACACAGCCCUUUUUAUACCUUUCUCCACAGCAAACUCAUCUUAGGUGGGGUUUUACCUUUUCUCAUUAAAAAAAGACCAGUCUUCUUUGGCCACAAUUAAUUAUUCAAAUCUAUAUGUUAUCUUAAAUUUGUGGAGCAUGCGCAGUUAGUUGUUUUACUGGAAAAGGUUUUAUGAGGACAAGGUUUCUUUUUUUAAAAAGAGUCUUUGUUUUUCGUUCGUCUCUGACCAACACUCCCUUCUUAUGUCUCAAUGAGCUUCUGUCUGUUUCUAUCUGCCAUCCUAGCUGAUAUCCACCUCCCUUCCUGAGCCCUUUCAUAUAAAAUGCAAUUAUUUCAAUACAGUAAUUUCAAUGCAUCAUAUUUCACAAUGGCUAACAUGGCUAAUUACAAUGAAUGCAAAUUAUAUGCUUUAAUUAAAAAAAAAAACAAAAAAAAAAACAGCUGUGGUUGCUUAUUCCACUUGUAAUUUCAGGUGUAAUUUGCAGUUGUAAUUUUUCAUGAAGUCGUCAGCCAGUAACAGUCAGGACGAGACUGGGUAGUGGAGGUGUGAUAUGAACAGGGUAAGAGACAAACAGGAGGUUUGCCUUGCUGAAACUUCAACAACUUUUUGUACUUCAGCAAUGUUAAAAUAAAAUAAUUGAAAUAAUCUUUUUUGAGAUGUGUUGCUGCCAUCAAAUUGAAAAUUACCUAUUUUUCCCUUAAAAUUGUACAUUUCCUCAGUUUAAACAUGUGAUAUGUGUUCUACAUUCUAUUGUGAAUAAAAUAUGGGUUUAAGAUUUGCAAAUCAUUGCAUUCUGUUUUUAUUUACAGUUUACCCAUCUUCUAUAUGUUGAUGCUGAUAGUUGUAUCUUCC